rnacentral:tRNA from 1 species
GAGGAUGUAGCUCAGUGGUAGAGCACGUGCUUAGCAUGCAGGAGGUCCAAGGGUUCAAUCCCCCAUCCCUA